rnacentral:rRNA from 1 species
GACGAACGCUGGCGGCGUGCUUAACACACGCAAGUCGAACGGAAAGGCCCUGCUUUUGUGGGGUGCUCGAGUGGCGAACGGGUGAGUAACACGUGAGUAACCUGCCCUUGACUUUGGGAUAACUUCAGGAAACUGGGGCUAAUACCGGAUAGGAGCUCCUGCUGCAUGGUGGGGGUUGGAAAGUUUCGGCGGUUGGGGAUGGACUCGCGGCUUAUCAGCUUGUUGGUGGGGUAGUGGCUUACCAAGGCUUUGACGGGUAGCCGGCCUGAGAGGGUGACCGGCCACAUUGGGACUGAGAUACGGCCCAGACUCCUACGGGAGGCAGCAGUGGGGAAUAUUGCACAAUGGGCGGAAGCCUGAUGCAGCAACGCCGCGUGCGGGAUGACGGCCUUCGGGUUGUAAACCGCUUUCGCCUGUGACGAAGCGUGAGUGACGGUAAUGGGUAAAGAAGCACCGGCUAACUACGUGCCAGCAGCCGCGGUGAUACGUAGGGUGCGAGCGUUGUCCGGAUUUAUUGGGCGUAAAGGGCUCGUAGGUGGUUGAUCGCGUCGGAAGUGUAAUCUUGGGGCUUAACCCUGAGCGUGCUUUCGAUACGGGUUGACUUGAGGAAGGUAGGGGAGAAUGGAAUUCCUGGUGGAGCGGUGGAAUGCGCAGAUAUCAGGAGGGACACCAGUGGCGAAGGCGGUUCUCUGGGCCUUUCCUGACGCUGAGGAGCGAAAGCGUGGGGAGCGAACAGGCUUAGAUACCCUGGUAGUCCACGCUGUAAACGGUGGGUACUAGGUGUGGGGUCCAUUCCACGGGUUCCGUGCCGUAGCUAACGCUUUAAGUACCCCGCCUGGGGAGUACGGCCGCAAGGCUAAAACUCAAAGGAAUUGACGGGGCCCCGCACAAGCGGCGGAGCAUGCGGAUUAAUUCGAUGCAACGCGUAGAACCUUACCUGGGUUUGACAUGGAUCGGGAGCGCUCAGAGAUGGGUGUGCCUCUUUUGGGGUCGGUUCACAGGUGGUGCAUGGCUGUCGUCAGCUCGUGUCGUGAGAUGUUGGGUUAAGUCCCGCAACGAGCGCAACCCUUGUUCACUGUUGCCAGCACGUUAUGGUGGGGACUCAGUGGAGACCGCCGGGGUCAACUCGGAGGAAGGUGGGGAUGACGUCAAGUCAUCAUGCCCCUUAUGUCCAGGGCUUCACGCAUGCUACAAUGGCUGGUACAGAGAGUGGCGAGCCUGUGAGGGUGAGCGAAUCUCGGAAAGCCGGUCUCAGUUCGGAUUGGGGUCUGCAACUCAACCUCAUGAAGUCGGAGUCGCUAGUAAUCGCAGAUCAGCAACGCUGCGGUGAAUACGUUCCCGGG